UNUGACUUGAGUGCAGAAGGGGAGAGUGGAAUUCCAUGUGUAGCGGUGAAAUGCGUAGAUAUAUGGAGGAACACCAGUGGCGAAAGCGGCUCUCUGGUCUGUCACUGACGCUGAGGCUCGAAAGCGUGGGUAGCGAACAGGAUUAGAUACCCUGGUAGUCCACGCCGUAAACGAUGAGUGCUAGGUGUUAGGCCCUUUCCGGGGCUUAGUGCCGGAGCUAACGCAAUAAGCACUCCGCCUGGGGAGUACGACCGCAAGGUUGAAACUCAAAGGAAUUGACGGGGGCCCGCACAAGCGGUGGAGCAUGUGGUUUAAUUCGAAGCAACGCGAAGAACCUUACCAGGUCUUGACAUCCCGAUGCUAUUCUUAGAGAUAGGAAGUUACUUCGGUACAUCGGAGACAGGUGGUGCAUGGUUGUCGUCAGCUCGUGUCGUGAGAUGUUGGGUUAAGUCCCGCAACGAGCGCAACCCUUAUUGUUAGUUGCCAUCAUUAAGUUGGGCACUCUAGCGAGACUGCCGGUAAUAAACCGGAGGAAGGUGGGGAUGACGUCAAAUCAUCAUGCCCCUUAUGACCUGGGCUACACACGUGCUACAAUGGUCGGUACGACGAGUUGCGAGCCGGUGACGGCAAGCUAAUCUCUGAAAGCCGAUCUCAGUUCGGAUUGGAGGCUGCAACUCGCCUCCAUGAAGUCGGAAUCGCUAGUAAUCGCGGAUCAGCACGCCGCGGUGAAUACGUUCCCGGGCCUUGUACACACCGCCCGUCACACCACGAGAGUUUGUAACACCCGAAGUCGG
rnacentral:rRNA from 1 species